AUUGAACGCUGGCGGCAGGCCUAACACAUGCAAGUCGAACGGUAACAGGAAUCAGCUUGCUGAUUCGCUGACGAGUGGCGGACGGGUGAGUAAUGUCUGGGAAACUGCCUGAUGGAGGGGGAUAACUACUGGAAACGGUAGCUAAUACCGCAUAACGUCGCAAGACCAAAGAGGGGGACCUUCGGGCCUCUUGCCAUCGGAUGUGCCCAGAUGGGAUUAGCUAGUAGGUGGGGUAAUGGCUCACCUAGGCGACGAUCCCUAGCUGGUCUGAGAGGAUGACCAGCCACACUGGAACUGGGACACGGUCCAGACUCCUACGGGAGGCAGCAGUGGGGAAUAUUGCACAAUGGGCGCAAGCCUGAUGCAGCCAUGCCGCGUGUAUGAAGAAGGCCUUCGGGUUGUAAAGUACUUUCAGCGAGGAGGAAGGUGUUGAGGUUAAUAACCUUAGCAAUUGACGUUACUCGCAGAAGAAGCACCGGCUAACUCCGUGCCAGCCGCCGCGGUAA
rnacentral:rRNA from 1 species